rnacentral:rRNA from 1 species
CGAUGAAGGACGUGCUAAUCUGCGAAAAGCGUCGGUAAGGUGAUAUGAACCGUUAUAGCCGGCGAUGUCCGAAUGGGGAAACCCAGUGCAAUUCGUUGCACUAUCGUUAACUGAAUACAUAGGUUAACGAGGCGAACCGGGGGAACUGAAACAUCUAAGUACCCCGAGGAAAAGAAAUCAACCGAGAUUCCCCCAGUAGCGGCGAGCGAACGGGGAGCAGCCCAGAGUCUGAAUCAGCUUGUGUGUUAGUGGAACGGUCUGGAAAGUCCGACGGUACAGGGUGAUAGUCCCGUACACCAAAAUGCACAGGCUGUGAACUCGAAGAGUAGGGCGGGACACGUGGUAUCCUGUCUGAAUAUGGGGGGACCAUCCUCCAAGGCUAAAUACUCCUGACUGACCGAUAGUGAACCAGUACCGUGAGGGAAAGGCGAAAAGAACCCCGGCGAGGGGAGUGAAAAAGAACCUGAAACCGUGUACGUACAAGCAGUGGGAGCACCUU